UACAUGGGGUGCAAACGUUGCUCGGAAUUAUUGGGCGUAAAGCGCGCGUAGGCGGUUACUCAAGUCGGAUGUGAAAGCCCUCGGCUUAACUGAGGAAGUGCACCCGAAACUGAGUAGCUAGAGUACCAAAGAGGGUCGCGGAAUUCCCGGUGUAGAGGUGAAAUUCGUAGAUAUCGGGAGGAACACCUGUGGCGAAAGCGGCGCACUGGACCACAUCUGACGCUGAGGCGCGAAAGCUAGGGGAGCAAACAGG
rnacentral:rRNA from 1 species